AAGACAAAAACAACACCAAAAAAAACACAACCAAAAAAGAAAAAAGUUGUUGUGGAGGAUUCACCUCCUGAAGAAGAUCAAUACUUUGAUGGUGAGAGAUAUGAAAUAUCAAGUGAUGAACUAGAUGAAUGGCUAAGGGAAAACGUUGAUAAAUCUGCUGCAGAGGGG